UACGGGGGGAGCAAGCGUUGUUCGGAUUUACUGGGCGUAAAGCGCACGCAGGCGGUCUGUCAAGUCGGAUGUGAAAUCCCCGGGCUCAACCUGGGAACUGCAUUCGAAACUGGCAGGCUAGAGUCUUGUAGAGGGGGGUAGAAUUCCAGGUGUAGCGGUGAAAUGCGUAGAUAUCGAGAGGAACACCUGCGGCGAAGGCGGGUUGCUGGGCUGACACUGACGCUGAGGCGCGAAAGCUAGGGGAGCGAACGGG
rnacentral:rRNA from 1 species